CUGGAUUUCGGCGAACGUCGUCAUGGUUGUGGGCAGCUGGAUCUCUUUGGGGAUCAGGUGUCUACUGAGUUCUGGAACAUGGCACAGAAGAAAUGGGCCAGACUAUUUAUGGGAUUUGAUUGGGAGGAUGGUUGCCAACAACCCCCUUUCUCUCCUACUAGCAAGUGUCAGUCUUUGGAAUCACAUGCAGUAGUGCCUAAAAACUUGACAGCAGAUGGAAAAGCCUUUGGAUGAAUGUGUGAGAAGGAAACUAUCCUAACCAGCCAAUUUGCACAAAAUACUGACAUUUUUCCUGGCCAUGCCUUUGCUCAUUGUGUCCAUGGUCAUUUGGGAGAGAGAGCGCCAAACAAUCUGAAUACCAAUGGAAAUGGACACAGGAGACACCAGAGAAAUGGAGUCCAAAUCACACAGGAUGUUAAUAAGCAUUUGAUGGACGAAUAGGAUUCUUAAGCUAACCAGUCUUAAGAACCAUUGUGUGGUGUCCUGGAAAGUGCAAUGGACAAAGGACCCUCAAAUCUGGAUUCUAAUCCUGGAUCUGCCAUCCUGGAUGCUUGGAAAACAAUAGUCUCUAAGAUUUGGUAAAAAGCAGAGAGCAAUCCUUUGGUGAAAGCUGUCAUGAGGAUUAAAUGAGACCAUAUAGAUGAAAGCUUCUUGUAAGGAGAGGGUAUCUAAGAGUGUUAAUUUUUGCAUUCUAUGUGAACACUACAUUUCAGAAAAUAAAAACAGUAUACUUGUGGUUUUGAGCUCUGGUUGAGAAACAAAGAAUUCAAUACAAAGUAAAAUAUGUAGUAAAGCCAAAAAAUAUUUUUGGUUGUUCCUCCUUAACCUGACCAACUGUACCAAGAAUUGGAGUUCCAUCGGGUUUGCUCUGUUGGGGUUUUUUCCAUGCUAAUUUGUCUCCUUGGUGAUCAAAUCCACUCCACUAAAUUCUGCAUUAUUUCUCUUCCACAGUUUACUUCUUCCUGAAAUGCUCUUUCAUUG